CUGAGCAAAAACAACGGCCAGAAAAUCAACAGGAAACAAACAUGAACAAAUCUAGCUAAAACCAUUACAGACUACAAUAUCUCACGAAGAUCAUGUUCCCAAGAAGAAAAAAAAAACUAAAACAGCAAAAGCCAACAUAAAGGCAUUAAGCCCACAUAAAGGUAUAUAGCCCACAAAGAGGCAUUACGCCCACAUUCGGCAUAAAGGCCAUAUUAGACAUAAAGCCCAAAUUAAACACAAAAUAAAAGAAAAAUACAUAGCCACCACAACCAAAGAGAAACUCCAAGCCGCCAUUUGCAAAGAGAAACUCCACGACUGUAGAUGGACAAACCACCAAUCACCACCAUGAAGACAACAGCUAUCCAAAAAAGAAUGAGAACCAUUCCACAACUAAGAGAAAAAGAACCAAUAACAUAGAAGGAGGUGGUGCAAGCACUCGAGCUAGAGCUCUACACACCUUCCAAUAAAAAAGCGCCAAAACACGUUUGAAAUGUGCAUUUACAUACCAAGGAUGAGGCCAUAUCAAAGGGGAGGUGAAGGAAUUCGGAUGAGCCAUGGAUUUUGGGUCGGUAUGAAGCAAGAUCCGCAAGGUAAAAAUGGUGGUGAUAGGGGAAAUCAUGCCCGUGGUCUUCAUCCACCCAGAUUGAAAAAUAAGGGGAGAAGAAGAAAAGUGUAAUUCAAGGAGGAAGAAUGAGGAAGAGGAGGGGGAGGGAGGAGGGGCAGACCACCUCCCCCCAAGAUACGACACUGAAGGGGUGGGGGAGUUUUUUUUUCUCUGCUAGGUUUAGAGAGAGAGAGAGAGAGAGUGAGUAAAAUGAUAGUAGCUAAUUGAAGUUCAAACUCAAAGGAAUCAUAUAAACUUGGAAGAUUUACUAUUAUACUCAAUAUAUGGGCCCAAAUUAUAAUACAAAAAACCCUAUAUGAAAUGGACUUCAGAAACAUACCCAAUGCCCAUUUACAACAUAACAAAAAGGCUUCUAAUUUCAUAUAAAUUACAAAACAUCCAUUGAUUUCUUAAAACAAACCCAACCCCAAAACCUCAUAAAUAAAAACUCAAAACACUCAAUAGGGUAUCAAAGUAAUUUAAUAAUCAAAAU
rnacentral:lncRNA from 1 species